rnacentral:tRNA from 4 species
GCGGAUGUGGCGGAAUUGGCAGACGCGCUAGAUUUAGGUUCUAGUUCCGAGAGGAGUGAAGGUUCAAGUCCUUUCAUCCGCACUA